UGAAAUUCGCCAUCGACUCUGCCCGCCAUACGCCACCGCAGCAGACCGAUGAUUUUCGUGCCCUCACAACUCCCGCCAAAUCCCGCAACCGGUUAUCGCCGGUGACCACCUCAUAUUUCCGGUAAACUUCUUUCUCUUUUUAUUUUCAAUUAUUUUUUUUUGAAAAAAAGAAAAUCUCUCUUCUUCAGCCCCUCGAAACAAAACCAAAAACUCUGGCUAUGGAACUUCCGACUUCCUUCUUCUUCAACUUCUUUCCGAUUCCGUCAUCUUUGCAUUUCGAUUAACACUUCCACUUCCACAUUAGGGUUUUCCGCUAUUUCAUUUCUCCACUAAUUCAUGCGAGCCAACUGUUCCUCUUGAAUUCGAACACAAUGAGCGCUGUUAAUAUCACCAACGUUGCAGUUCUUGAUAACCCGUCUCCCUUCUCUACUCCCCUUCAGUUUGAGAUCUCCUACGAGUGUUUGUCUGCUCUCAAAUACGAUUUGGAAUGGAAACUAAUUUACGUGGGGUCUGCUGAGGUUGAGACAUAUGAUCAACUAUUGGAGUGUGUUCUUGUGGGACCUGUCAAUGUUGGUAACUAUCGUUUUGUAUUGCAGGCUGACCCUCCAGACCCGUCCAAAAUCCCUGAAGAAGAUAUCAUUGGUGUAACUGUACUUCUGUUGACCUGCUCAUAUAUGGGUCAGGAGUUCAUCCGUGUUGGUUACUACGUAAACAAUGAUUAUGAUGAUGAGCAGCUCAGAGAAGAACCUCCAGCCAAAGUUUUGAUCGAUAGGGUUCAGAGAAACAUCCUAUCUGAUAAACCCAGGGUUACAAAGUUUCCCAUUAAUUUCUACCCUGAGACUAAUGAUAGUGGAGAGGAACCUCCUUCUAACGAUCCUGUAUCAGCAGAAACUGACGGUGACGAACAACUACUUGCUUCUCCUGAACAUCCUUCAAACGAUCAAAAUCCCUAGAUUUUGGAACUUCCAUCCAAACACCAAGUCGUGGGAACUUCUGUAUCCCGAUCGCCACUUGUUCUCAGAGAUCAUCAUUGCUGGAAUCUUGGAUGGCUUUUGGGUUCAAAAGGUACUACUGCUGCUGCUCUCUUCACUUGACCAUAGGCUGUAUUCAAUUGUGUGAACUUUUGUCCUAACUUCUGAUCUUAAAGUUACGGUGAGUAAUCUACAGUAUAUGCAAGCCUUGAGGGGGUGUUUGGUCAAUGAAUUUGAAAUUAGGGGAUUUGACAUUUGAAGCCAAAUUCAUGUGUUACACCGUUGGUAUAAAAUUCUUACUAUUAAUUUAUUAUUAAGAAACUAAGCCUAUGGGUUUUGAAU